CAUGAAGCAUCAAAAACACACGUGCAAAAAUCUAAUUCUAACUAAAUUUAGCUUUCAGUUGGCAUUUCCUCAAACAGUCAAGUGCACCUAUUAUUAUUUGGCUGACAAAAAUAUGAACACCAAACAUGCCAUCAUCGUUAAGCAAUUCAAGGAUGUCUAUGAAUCGAACAUGAAAUAUUUGGAGCAUGGAAUAAAAAACAGCACAUUGUCUUCUGGCGUAGAUGCACAAUAGAUGCACUCCUUCGAAUAGAGAUCAAUUUUCAGCUGAAACAAUAGAUGCACUCUUUCAAAUAUGCAUCAUAGUAGGUCCUACAAAAAUCACGAGAAAUUAGAGGAUGCAACUUGACUACCUUCUUUAUCAUUUGGAGGACAAAAGAAGCUAGAAAAAUUGUGAUGAACCACCAAUCCCUGUUAAAAGUAACUAUCAUUCCCCUAUGAUAUAUGGAUAUAUCAAUCAAGAGAGAGGGGGGUGUUAUCCCAGGAAACACUUUGCAAACAUAAGCUUUUAAAUUGGUAGUCAACUUACUGUCAACAUGUAAGGUUGCCUCAUUUCUGAAAAAUACAAAUCCACCCUAAAUUUUCACAUGAAUAAAAUGUAGAUUUUCUCUUCUAUCAAGAUAUUACAUGUCUGGUAUCUUCUUGUAGGAACUGCUACCAUCAUUUGCUUGUUCUCACAAAGAAUUCAAUCCAUAGUAUGCCAAGAAGCUAAGAAAAAAUUGUAAUUUCUUCAAAGAAUAUAAUACAUUGCAGAAAUAAAAUACUCUAUCAGAGAGUUUGCAGGCGAGGUAGCAGGGACAAGAGCAAGAACUAACUUUGAGAGGAGAUGGGCAGACUCCUGCGUCGUGCCCUGGCUGACCCCUACGCUUACGCCAUGCCUCCAGUAUCCUUUCCUCAUUCCUUUGUGCUGUGAUAGAAAUUCAGAAUGGCAAAUAAAAGUAUUCUUAGAUUGCAGCCUUAAUUUCUUAUCCUUUAGUAGAUGCACAUUUGAUUCUAUUCUUAGAUUGCAGCCUUAAUUUCUUAUCCUUUAGUAGACGCACAUUUGAUUCUGAAGGAAGAAGAUGGGAAAUAUGCAUAUAGCAAGAAAUAGUAAAAAGAUGUUCUUUCAAACUUGCAUGGCUAUUUGUUUUUUCUGUAAACAUGCCAAUCUACUGCCAUCUCACUGGCCUUAAUUUCUUUUCAUAGAUGCAAAUUUGAUUUUGAGCAAGUAGAGAAGCAAUAUAUGAUAGCAUACAUCAAGAAAGAGUAGAAGAAUGUUCUUUUCAGCAUAUAUAUAUAUAUAUAUAAAGGGCAACCUGGUGCAUGUAGCUCCCGCUUGCGCAGGGUCCAGGGAAGGGUCCGACCACUUUGGGUCUAUAGUACGCAGCCUUUCCCUACAUUUCUGUAAGAGGCUGUUUCCAGGACUUGAACCCAUGACCUCAUGGUCACAAGGCAGCAGCUUUACCACUGCGCCAAGGCUCCCCUUCUCAGCAUAUAUAUAUAUAUAUAUAUAUAUAUAUAUAUAUAUAUAUAUAUAUAUAUAUAUACGACUAUAAUUUUUUCAUGUAAAUACACUGAUGCACUACCAUCUCAUUACAAAUUAUGUACCGUGCCAAGGAAAAAUCAUUUUACUUUUCAGCAUAUAUAUACGAUCAUAUGGUAGUCACACAUAUAAGCAGCACCACAAAAACAAACACACAAACACGACACCUGGAAAAAUCAGGAACAGAGGAAUUAACACGACAAUAAGCAGUAAACAAAUAGGGUAGAAAAUUGCAGUGCUUAGAAAAGAAUGACAAGGACAAACCUUGACCAAAGGGACAGAGAAGGAGCAACGUUAGUGAUUCUAGAGCCUGCAAAAUAAAACGAAAGGAAGGUUAGCCAAACAAGCCAGUCUAUUCAAUACCUAACACAACAGCAAAUCAAAGACAACCUAGCUUUACAUGGCAGAAAUUUCAAGUAAGAGAAAAAAUAUAUAAUGGAGGCGGGAGUGCUGAGAGCUGAGAUUAUAUCGCACAACUGAGAGGGUCUCAAUAGUUACAUAAAAGGGUAAACAUUGUAGCUAGCCAUGAAUUAUUUGAUAGCAGAAAAUCUUGACAGAAUAGCAUCUAUGCAGAUGAAUUUUUAGCAAUGAAAAAUAUACCAAGAGAUAAAGCAAAAGGCAGUACAAUUUAUUUGGAAAAUAUGGAUGCUAGCUACUAUAAUAGAACCAAUUAUAUAUGUCAUUCCUCAUUUAAAGAAAACACUGUAUUGAGAGUGACAUAUUAAUCAACUCAUAAGUCCUAAAUGAGUAAAGAAAGGACAUUCAUAGAGACAAUUUGCGAACAUGAUGGUGCAAGUAUAUAGAUGCAACAAAGAAAGCUAAACUACUAUUUGGAAGCUACUGGGCAAAAAAUGUUUCAGAAAAUUGAUGAAGCAAUCACACACACAUAUAUACUAUUUUAUUAGCUGAAGGAAACAUGGUCCAACAAACCAAGCACCGCAGGGAAGUCCUCAGCUUGAUCAACCAACCAUUGCAUAAAGAAAAUGGCAAAGGACGAUAGCUAAACAAAAUAGGAGAAUAUAAGCAUAAGUGGCGAACAAAUAUCUUUUGCAAUCAGUGCAUAUACUAUAUAGCCAUACUAUUUAUAUACUAAAAGAAUAGUCUGCUUGGUUGAAAGCUUUUUUUGUAUAUAUCUAUCGUACUAAAUCGAUUUAGAAUUGAACUCCACAACAACCGAAAUUGUAAGUGUGCACACAUUUGAGGCACGUAUCCUACUAUGCAAUAGAUUUUAGAAGUAUCAUGAGAAACCAGAGAGUGAACUUGCCUGCCUCACCUAUCAUCUGGAGAUUAACAGAAGGCCGAACCAACACAUCCAAGCAUUUGUAGAAUUGGACCCCAAACAAUUGAGAAAUGAUGCCUAGAAUGGAAAGGCUGCACAAGGCACACAAGAAUAAUCUAAAGCAGGGUAAUCAUAAAAAUGGAAUAUUAUCAACCUACCACAAAGCAGGAUGCUGAACUAUACAAUUCAUGUAUUUUUAGGAACAUUUUUGCACACAAAAAAUUUAGAUGCACGAAAUAGAGCUAGGAAAGCUGGAGACUAUAAUCUGAAUCACCAAAAACCAGUUGAACUAUUCAUACCCAAAAGUAGGCAAAAGGGAGAGUACAUAUAUUAGUUCUUCCAAACCAUCUAAGAUGGGUCAUAUUUAGCUGUAGGCAAAAAAGGUACAUUUCUGUAGUUAUAUACUUAUAGUUGCAUAAGCACCAUGCAUGCGUAUGAUGGCAUCAUGACAAAAACUAUGAAAUUCAAAAGACAUUUUUGUACUAAUUGGCUCCUCAGUGAAGCUAGUACAGAAGAAGAGGAUCGUACUGGGUAUCGUUCUUAUCUUUCUAGAAAAGAAAGGGUAAAAACUGAUUCAGAGCUGUCUGCGGAUAGGCAAAUCUAUUCAUCUUGAUUAACUAACGAGUUUAUAUACUUAUUCCCUCGAUUUUAUUCUGUCUAGUAGGUUUCCAGUAGACGUGGGUAUAGGUUACUCAAUCUGAGAGUCGGAACGGUAGUGUUGGAGCAGAUCAAACGACUGGGCCACUCAAAUGUGAUUUUCAUCAGUUGGUCAUCAUGGAUACUUGACUCGCAUACUUCUUCCCUCGACUUUGUUCUGUCCAGUAGGUUCUGCAGUAGAUGGAACCAAAAGAGAUGUUUUGUCCUCGAUGUGCUAAUUCAAACUAAACAAUCAGAAUGAGGCAUGCUCUCUAGAGAUGGAAAGCAACGAACUGAAUGUCCCAGCAAAACAACAAACUGUACAACAAGAGUGUGAAGAAUUUAUUGGCUGCACCAUUACUAAUGAAGUUAACAUCCACCCGCCAAAUGAUAUUCGAUCUAGGGGUAGGAUAAACAGAAUUAAGGGGAAUAAAGAGAAGGGAAGCAAAAAAGGUAACAACAAUAAGGCGAAGGUGUCGCAAUUGUGCGAGAUUCUAUCUAUUUGUUCGUGCUUAAGAAUCAGUUUUUUUAUCUGUCUGACUUCAUCAACUGAUAACUGGAUAUUCACUCUAGCCGUGAUACUUUUUUAUUUGUGUGAAUGAGUUAGUUAAUAUUCAUUCAUCGCCAUGUACAGUUUAGUUGCAACUGAAAUAUAUGUACUUAUAACUAUCUAAAUGCUUAGAUUUUCCUGUCUACAUAUAUAUCACCAAACAGCAAGUUAGAGGCUUGUAGAAAACACACACAAAUCGCCAGAUAUCUUGUAAUAAUGCAGUAUAGGAUAUCUUGCAGUUCCGGGCAAUACUGACCAACUGACCCUCUUCUUAAUAGCCCCAAGUUACUGAGAAAC
rnacentral:lncRNA from 1 species